rnacentral:tRNA from 1 species
UGGGACGUAGCUCAGCAGCAGAGCACCUGCCUGGUAAGCAGGAGGCCCUGAGUUUGAUUCCUGGUACCAA